rnacentral:piRNA from 1 species
UAACCACUGACUGACUCGUAUGCUGCUC